CCUACGGGAGGCAGCAGUGAGGAAUAUUGGUCAAUGGCCGGGAGACUGAACCAGCCAAGUCGCGUGAGGGAAGACGGCCCUGCGGGUUGUAAACCUCUUUUGUCAGGGAGCAAGGUGCAGGUCGGGACCUGCUGUGAGAGUACCUGAAGAAAAAGCAUCGGCUAACUCCGUGCCAGCAGCCGCGGUAAUACGGAGGAUGCGAGCGUUAUCCGGAUUUAUUGGGUUUAAAGGGAGCGUAGAUGGGUUGUUAAGUCAGUUGUGAAAGUUUGCGGCGCAACCGUAAAAUUGCAAUUGAUACUGGCAGUCUGGAGUAGAGUUGAGGUAGGCGGAAUUCGUGGUGUAGCGGUGAAAUGCUGAGAUAUCACGAAGAACUCCGAUUGCGAAGGCAGCAUACCAAAUGGACACUGACACUGAGGCUCGAAAGUGUGGGUAUCAAACAGGAUUAGAUACCCCUGUAGUC
rnacentral:rRNA from 1 species